rnacentral:lncRNA from 1 species
UUGUACAAUGACAUAAAUACUGCAUGGUAUAAGGAAAUAUGACAGCAUCAUCUUGGAGGCUGAUAUCUAAGAGCUUUUAAUUUCUUUAUCCUUUUCAAAUAGUUCUUUACUCUGCAGCUCAUAGAAAGGGCUUAUGUUGGAGGCUGUCACGGAACUUAAUAGCUUCUUGUUUAUUUGCCCUACAAGGCCCAAGAAGCCUUGGAAAAUAGCCAUUUAAUUUUACUCUCUGUGUUUUUUACCCUAACAGCUUUCCAAAACAUCCAGUAGGUAACACGAAGAGAGGUGAUCAAGAAACAUGGUCAUGGGAUGAAAAAAAAUCAGUCUUUUAUAUUUUUGGUUUUCAUUAUAUAAAGGUUUUCAAUACUGCAAAAUUUUCUCAGAUUCAAAUUCAACCUGAAGAACUAGAAAAGUUAGUCUUUUAAAAGAUUCCACAUAAACACAGUCAAAACAAAAUAUAAUUACAAGUCCCUACAUUUAUCAGUCUUUGGCAGUUUUUUGACAGGCAGUCAUAGGAAUGGGUUUAACUGAGAAUAUUUCUCCUUCUCCUCUAAGUUUUUUUGUUUUUUGUUUUUUUUUUAGGGCUGCACCCAUGGUAUAUGGAAGUUUCCAGGCUAGGGGUUGAAUCAGAGCUGUAGCCAUGGACCUACGCAACAGCCACAGAAAAGCAGGAUCCAAGCCAGGUCUGCAACUUACGCCACAGCUCAGAGCAACACUGGAUCCUUAACCCACUGAGUGAGGCCAGGGAUCGAACACACAAUGUCAUGGUUCCUAAUCAGAUUCGUUUCCUCUGGCCCACAGUGGAAACUCCUCCUCUGAGAUCUUUUGAUAGAAAAAUAUUUAAUAUUUGAUAAUUCCAACCCUAAACAAAACUUGGUGAUGCAAAGUAGGAAUUCCUUCUUUAUGUUUGAGCCACUUAACUUUGAACUAGUGUUGGGGUAUUGUUCUAUAAUUAGAAUAGAAAUAGCUUAAAGAAAAUUUUCUUCUAGAAAACUCUAAGGUGCAAGUGGUCCAGCAAGACGUAUCUAGGUAUAUGUUUGCCCUACUUACAACUUAGUGAUGCCUUAGGGUGCAGUCUAAGUCAUUUUAAACCUUCCAGCAUGUACUACAGUCUAACAAGCCUUGGCAUAAACUCAAGUCUCUGCACACCACAGCCAAGUUUUUAAUCUCAUAGACCUUGUUUAAUUAGCCAAUGGAAGGAGAGAUUUGGAAUGGAGAACUUUCACUGUCUCUUUGUGUUCCCAAAGUCAUUAGAUUUUUAAAAAUUGGAGCACUAAAACAAAAGUUAAGCAUAGGACUAUGCUUAAAAAUCUACUCUGGCAAUUGCUGCCUUCUUUUCAUCCCAUUUCCUUAUGUUUCAACUGUGAUUAAGAAAUGAGAUUAGAAAGAUGUAAUAUACAAGAUUUUGAACUAGUCAAUAUUUGGUUUCAGGAAUCUAGAAGCUGAAACACAGAAAUUUAAACAAUUAUUUGAAAAUUAAAAUUUCCACUGUUUACUCAAUCUCUACUUCUCACUUUGUUCUUUCCUUGCAACUGUAUAUUACUACUCUAAUUAUUAAAUUACUUGCAUAGGAUAACUUAUAAUAAGACCAUAAUAGGUGAUAUUAAAUGUGGGUAAACAUCAUACUGUAUACUCUAUCACCAUUAGACAUUCAUUUACAUAUAUUUUACUUCAUAAAUUGCAAGCUCAUAUCACUUUCCAGACUAUGAGCUAUAAUCUUGGGAGAAGAAGGUGUGUGGUUUAAACAUUAUUAUUUUUUUAUUUUUUAUUUUUUUUGCCUUUUUUUAGGGCCACACCCAUGACAUAUGGAGGUUCCCACAUUAGGGGUCUAAUCAGAGCUACAGCUGCUGUCCUAUGCCAUAGCCACCACAACACCAGAUCCAAGCCAUGUCUGUGAUCUACACCAUAGCUCAUGGCAAUGCCAGCUCCUUAACCCACUGAGUGAGGCCAGGGAUCGAACCCUCAACCUCAUGCUUCCUUGUAGGAUUUGUUUCCCCUGUGCCAUGAUGGGAACUCCAUAAAUAUUAAAUGUCAGUUUGAGAUGGAAUGUCAACUUAAGUUACCUGACUUCAUUACCCAUGUUAAUGUUCAGAUAUGGGUAAGCAGAGUUAUAUUUGCUUUCAAGAUAGUUUUGAGUAUUGGCUGUUAUAAAUAACACAGCACAUUCAAGAAACAUUGAUCCAAUGAGAAUACUUUUAUAGUUACUUUAAUUGCUUUUAUUAAUACUUAUUCUUAGUAGCAAUAUAAUUUGAUGAAGUUUCAUAAUGCUGAAGUGAUCCUUACCAUUUAUUGUAUCAACCUUACUAUCAUCAAGGUGAAUAUGUUUCCUUUUUUGAUAUAUAAACUGUUAUACUAGGUUCUUCCCCUAAUAUUGCUCAUGAUUGUUGUUAAUUUUAGCCUGGUGGCAAUUAACAAUCCUGGUUUUCUCACCAUCUGCAGAAGAGUUAUUCAUUAGGUAGGACACCAUAAGGAACAGAUAAGUGUCUAAGGAUAGAUAAUUGAAAGUCACUGACUGCAAUUCCCUUUAAAUACUUUGCCCACCUGUCAAGCUCUUUGGCAUAACAAAAUCAUUUUUCUGUCAAUUUUCAGUUUGCCAAUAGCUUAGGAGAAUCCAACAGACUAUCAGCUUCUUUAAUUGUUGAAAAGGAAGUCUCAGAACAUCAGAGCUUUCUGUUUCUCAAGGCAAAUGAUUAGUUUGCUAAAUAUAAAUAAAAAUCCAAUUUGCCUGACACUUUGGAAUAUCUUAAAGUAAAUAUGCAAAUUGGAAAAUCUCCUUUGCCAGAGUUGAAUUAUAAAUUAGGAGGAGCUUUAAAAAAGAGGGAAAAAAGAGCAGUGAAUUUAAAGUCAUUUUAAUAAAAUCUUUUUGCUGCUGGUCCCCAUCUAUCCCUAUCAACCUCCUUCUUUGCUUUCUUUUAUCCCUUUCAACCUUUCUCCCUUUGAAGUUCGCAGCUUUGAAAGGUACUAUUAUUAUCUCUUAUUUUUCCUUUCCUGUAGUUUCUUUCUGUUGCCUUUUUGUUAGAUAUCUAGGGGAAGUAAUGUUUGUGGGUGACCUCUGAGUGGCUUUUGGGUUCAGUUUUCAGUUACUUCUGUUUUUUUAGUCUAGUGAUCUGAGAAGUGGGCUUGAAAACCAGUUAGUGAAUAUUGAUCAACUUUGGGUUGGUAGUAAUUUUUAUCAGAGUCACUUAGAUAUAUAUGUGUGUAUUAUUAUUAUACUAUAAACGCUUUCAAUGAUGUUUUUAUUCUUCAAUAUAGAAUUAAGUAUAAAAUCAAAGCCCAGAAAACCCAAGCUUUUAUUUUCAAAAUACAGCCUAGCAUUUUCCUCAAAAAUUAUACUGUACCCAUUCUCUCUUCUACCUUCCCUCACCUUAAAGCCAUUGGCUCUUUUACUUGGUCAUCUCAUGCAUGAAGCAUGUUCUUUUCUGUACAUUCACAACAGAUGAGGACCCUAAGUGUGGGCAAAGCAGCAUUGUGAAGUGAUAUCCCCAUCAGUCUACACCCUGUUCUUCACCAGUCAUUGUUCACAUUAACUUUAUAGCACAGUAUUUCACUAUUAAACUUGUGGACAGCUAUAUUUCCAGAUAUACCUAUUGUGUAACUUUCACAACCAUUUUUACGACUAAAUAUAAGACUUUGUAAUACACCUAUUAAAGCUAUUCUUGUUUCUUUGGAUUGAGCCAUUCUGGUUGUCGAGAUAAUUUUGCAUCUAAUUCAUUUGUCAUUUCUUUCAACUGCAUGCCAUUAAAAAUUCGAUAAGCAUAGUUUCUGUGUCCUACCCUAGUCAUUAAAAUUUUUGUAUAAACAAGACCACAGACAGAAUCUUGCAUCAAACUAGAAGAAAAUUGUAGUCAGGUUGACAUUAAUCAGUAUUAUCUAUGUAUUCCUCCACUGAUUAUAAAUUUACUUCUGAUCCUCAAGAAUAUUAAAGUCAUGUCAAAUAUACCAACAAAAUUGACCUAUACCAUGUGGUACUUUCCAAAUCAGUAUUACUAGUAACACUGCUAAAAUGGAAGUCCAUGUUCCUGUAAUUCUUUCUUAAUAAAUCCAUUAUGACUUCCAAUUAUUUUAUUUUUAAAAUGCCCAUAAACUUCUUAUUUAAUAAUUCUUCCCUUUCCCAGCAUUUCGUCCAACUAUUAGUUUAAUCGGUUCUACAUUAGAGAUGUUUAACACAGUCUAUUAAGGCCUGGUUUUACAUGGAAAGAAAUAUCUAAUUUUAUAAUGAAAAUCAUCUAGGAAAGGGAAUACAUAUUAUAAUUAGUUUUGCUGGAAUGCAUCUCUUCUCUUAAGUGAGGAUGAAUGAACAAAGUUAUUAGAAUACAAUGAGUAUUUAUGUGCUAGGAUUUUUUUUUAACCCUCACAGAAUGAUUAAAUCAGUCAAAUGACUACUAUGUAUUCAGUGCUGUACAGUAGAAAAAGUGAAGUAAAAGUUUGUUUUUUACCAAUUCAGUACCCUUAAGGGAUGUGAAAUUUAGAUAAUGAGACAGAAAUAGCAAAUUAGUGAUAAGAAUGCAUAUAUAAAUUAAUGUUUUACAUUCUUGCUAUUCAGUUGGAUAUAAAUGAAAGCUAUAGUAGACCAGAGAAAAUAACAGAAUAGUAUAAUAAUUUAAAAGUCAUAUCUGUGUACUUUAGCCCAUUUGAUUAGAAUAUUUUAUGGGGGAGAUAAGACAUGAUUGUGGCAUAAGACCUAACAUUAAAAUUCAUUGAUAUAUGUGGAAUUACUGUUGUGAUUCAGUGGUUUAAGAACCUGGCUAAUAUCCAUGAGGAUGCAGGUUGCAUCCCUGGCCUCCCUCAGUGGGUUAAGGAUCAGUUAUUGCCAUAAGCUGUGGCGUAGGUCGCAGACGCUACUCAGAUCUACGUGGCUUUGGCGUAGGUUGGAAGCUACAGUUCUGAUUCAACUCCUGUCCCAUGAACUUCCAAAUGCUGCAGGUGUGGCCUUUAAAAAAAAGUCUGUUAUGUGCUACCUUGCCAUCUGGAGGUCUUCAAAUGGCCUUAUUGCCAGUUCUCCUCCCCACGAAGCUUCUGCACAAAUAUGGUUCUAUAGCCAAACAACCGUCCUCAUUAAAGGGACCAGAUAAAUUUCUUGCUUAUACCUGAUUUGAGUAGAUUUGAGUUCCUGCCAGUCUGUGGAAUUAUUCAAACAAGCCAUCAUAUCCUUCCUUUGGUACCUGAGGGCACCUCACUCUCUUGAUACUACAUAACUCAUCUCCCACAACCUCUGGUGGGUCAGUCUUUUCCUAAGUACAACCCCUGUGGGGCUCUGAAUGGCAUAUGGGGUCCUCCUCCUUAGGUCUGUAUUUGUAACUAAUGCACUGCCCUUGAUCUCACUGGUCCAGUAUGUGUUCAACCCUUUAACCCUAGAGCAAGAAUAAUCCCUCAUUAAUGGGUGAAUAGGAGGUGUUUAAAACUCUUAACCAGGUCUUGAAGAAUUAGCCUAUGAAUAAUGAAGGCAUUACAGAAAAGUGAGAAGGCAUUC